rnacentral:rRNA from 1 species
GCGCAGCAGUCGCGAAUCUUCCACAAUGGGGGAAACCCUGAUGGAGCGACGCCGCGUGCGGGAUGAAGGCCCUAUGGGUUGUAAACCGCUGUUCAGUGGAAAGAACAUCCUCCGGCUGAAUAGGUCGGAGGCCUGACGUUACCACUGCAGAAAGUCCCGGCCAACUCCGUGCCAGCAGCCGCGGUAAUACGGGGGGACGAGCGUUGUCCGGAAUCAUUGGGGCGUAAAGGGCGCGUAGGCGGCGAGGAAAGUCGAAUGUGAAAUCUU